CGGCGGACGGGUGAGUAACGCGUGGGUGACCUGCCCCAUACCGGGGGAUAACAGCUGGAAACGGCUGCUAAUACCGCAUAAGACCACGGUACCGCAUGGUACAGUGGUAAAAACUCCGGUGGUAUGAGAUGGACCCGCGUCUGAUUAGGUAGUUGGUGGGGUAACGGCCUACCAAGCCGACGAUCAGUAGCCGACCUGAGAGGGUGACCGGCCACAUUGGGACUGAGACACGGCCCAG
rnacentral:rRNA from 1 species